CGGAGGAGCUGGGGGAGGGGCAUUUGGAUUGAGGAAGACUGGCGUGCGUGCCGGAGACUGCGUGAUGCUGUCGGAGAAACCUGAGCUGGAACUGACAGAAAGAGAGAGAGAGGUCAAAGAAAUAUGAUGGGUUGGUGUAGAACUUCAGACCCUCCUUCCCAUCAUCCCUACACACACAAGGGCAGUUGUGGCCUAAUGGUUAGAGAGUCGGACUCAUGACCAGAAGGUUGCCGGUUCGAUUCCCAGGGCCGGCGGGUAACAACUGAGGUGCCCUUGAGCAAGGCACCUGACCCCUACUUGCUCCCCGGGCAGCUGCAGUGAUAGCUGCCCACUGCUCCGGGGGUACGUGUGUUCACUACUCUCUGGAUGGGUUAAAUGCAGAGGUCACAUUUCGUUGCCUUGUACUUGUACAUGUGCAAUGACAAUAAAUUGAAUCCAAAAUCCAAAAUCCAAAUCCAAAAUAAAUGUAAUUAUUCAGUAUUCUUUAUUUCAUCUAUUAAAGCAUGUCAUCUGUACGUUUUUUUGUAAAAAAAUGGGAAAUGUUAGUUAGAUGCAGAGUUAUUAUAGUUUUGA